GCUGUUUCUUUUUGAAUGACUAUUGGUCUGCUGUGUUCCAGGGGGCUGAGGAGCUGGGCGGCCGUGGGAUGCUCCAGGAAAGCGGGGACUGAAGACCGGGUUCCACAGACCAGAAACCUGAGUCCGGGAAAGAAAUUGAUUUACCUGAAGUUAUAACGGUAACCACAGUUAUGACAGGAACCUGGAUCUUCUGACUUAAAAUCUGGUGAGAGUUUGCAUCUGGUGUGGACAGAAUAAGUAGUUACCAACAUGGCAUGGAUUUAGAAGUAAAUAAAGAAAGGAAAUGAAAAGAGAAGAGAAUAACAGAAUUAUU